UACAGAGGUCUCAAGCGUUGUUCGGAUUCAUUGGGCGUAAAGGGUGCGUAGGCGGCGCGGUAAGUCGGGUGUGAAAUUUCGAGGCUUAACUUCGAAACUGCAUUCGAUACUGCCGUGCUUGAGGACUGGAGAGGAGACUGGAAUUUACGGUGUAGCAGUGAAAUGCGUAGAUAUCGUAAGGAAGACCAGUGGCGAAGGCGGGUCUCUGGACAGUUCCUGACGCUGAGGCACGAAGGUCAGGGGAGCAAACGGG
rnacentral:rRNA from 1 species